CCACAUUCUGAGUUUGUCUUACACUCAGAGGCACAUUCAACAUUUGAGACACUUUUCCUUGUCUUGUAGUACGUGGUUGGACAACAGUGCCCUUAUUGAGAGCUUCGGCAGUUUAGUAUUCUAAUAUAGGAAACCGGUUUGGUUUGGUCCUUGUUUCCUAUAAUGCAUUAAUGUUUUAUGUUUAUUAAUAGAAAUGAUUUAUUGUUCACCGUUGGAUGGCGCAUGGAUGCUCACAAUCCGAAGGCUGAAAUUAAAUGUCGGUAUGCAGGAACUGAGCAUACGACAUCAGUUUUGUAUCUUUGUCAAAAGUUUUUAGUUUCCUCAACAGAUUCUAUUUUUUAUUAUCUCGUAUUAUAGUAACUAAAUUUGAUAUAUAAUAUAUACAAUCCAUAUGUAUAUAUUUAUUUUGAUAUUUUAAUUUUUGUAAAAUUUAAAAUUGAAUUAUGUGGA